UGAGUGCGAGCGGCUACGGCCGCGAAGUGGGUGAUGUCAAGCUUCCAAGAAAAGCCCUAUACCCGUUAAGGCAUGAUGGCCUGUACCCGAAACCGACACAGGUGGGGUGGUAGAGAAUACCGAGGGGCGCGAGGUAACUCUCUCUAAGGAACUCGGCAAAAUGGCCCCGUAACUUCGGGAGAAGGGGUGCCACCGCAAGGUGGUCGCAGUGAAGAGGCCCAGGCGACUGUUUACCAAAAACACAGGUCUCCGCUAAGUCGCAAGACGAUGUAUGGGGGCUGACGCCUGCCCAGUGCCGGAAGGUUAAGGAAGCUGGUCAGCGCAAGCGAAGCUGGCGACUGAAGCCCCGGUGAACGGCGGCCGUAACGAUAACGGUCCUAAGGUAGCGAAAUUCCUUGUCGGGUAAGUUCCGACCCGCACGAAAGGCGUAACGAUCUGGGCGCUGUCUCGGAGAGAGGCUCGGCGAAAUAGAAUUGUCUGUGAAGAUGCGGACUACGUGCACCCGGACAGAAAGACCCUAUGAAGCUUUACUGUAGCUUGGUAUUGUGCCCGGGCUCUGAAUGCGCAGGAUAGGUGGGAGGCUUUGAUCCAUGGCUUGCGGGUCAUGGUGAGCCAACGGUGAGAUACCACUCUUUCAGAGCUAGGGUUCUAACGGUCACCCGUCAUCCGGGGACCGGACAGUAUCAGGUGGGCAGUUUGACUGGGGCGGUCGCCUCCUAAAAGGUAACGGAGGCGCGCAAAGGUUUGCUCAGGCUGGUUGGAAAUCAGCCGACGAGUGCAAAAGCAGAAGCAAGCUUGACUGUGAGACCUACAAGUCGAACAGGGACGAAAGUCGGCUUUAGUGAUCCGACGGUUCUGAGUGGAAGGGCCGUCGCUCAACGGAUAAAAGUUACUCUAGGAUAACAGGCUGAUCUCCCCCAAGAGUUCACAUCGACGGGGAGGUUUGGCACCUCGAUGUCGGCUCAUCGCAACCUGGGGCUGAAGUCGGUCCCAAGGGUUGGGCUGUUCGCCCAUUAAAGCGGUACGCGAGCUGGGUUCAGAACGUCGUGAGACAGUUCGGUCCAUAUCCGGUGCACGCGCAGGAACAUUGAGAGGAUUUCUCCCUAGUACGAGAGGACCGGGAGGAACGCACCUCUGGUGUGCCAGUUAUCGUGCCAACGGUAAACGCUGGGUAGCCAUGUGCGGAGUGGAUAACCGCUGAAAGCAUCUAAGUGGGAAGCCCACCUCAAGAUGAGUGUUCCCAUGGCAUAAGCCAGUAAGGUCACGGGAAGAACACCCGUUGAUAGGCUCUACGUGGAAGCCGGGUAACCGGUGAAGCGGAGGAGUACUAAUAGACCGAGGGCUUGACCAG
rnacentral:rRNA from 1 species